GGGCGUAAAGGGCUCGCAGGCGGUUCCUUAAGUCUGAUGUGAAAGCCCCCGGCUCAACCGGGGAGGGUCAUUGGAAACUGGGGAACUUGAGUGCAGAAGAGGAGAGUGGAAUUCCACGUGUAGCGGUGAAAUGCGUAGAGAUGUGGAGGAACACCAGUGGCGAAGGCGACUCUCUGGUCUGUAACUGACGCUGAGGAGCGAAAGCGUGGGGAGCGAACAGGAUUAGAUACCCUGGUAGUCCACGCCGUAAACGAUGAGUGCUAAGUGUUAGGGGGUUUCCGCCCCUUAGUGCUGCAGCUAACGCAUUAAGCACUCCGCCUGGGG
rnacentral:rRNA from 1 species